rnacentral:rRNA from 1 species
AGCCUUUAGCCUAACAAGUAUUAAAGGUCUAACCUGCCCAGUGACUAUCUUAAACGGCCGCGGUAUCCUAACCGUGCAAAGGUAGCAUAAUCACUUGUCCCCUAAAUAGGGACUAGAAUGAACGGUCAAAUGAGGACUUAACUGUCUCUUACGUAUAACCAAUAAAACUGAUCUCUCAGUCAAAAAGCUGAGAUAAAAACAUAAGACGAGAAGACCCUGUGGAGCUUCAAACCAAACCCAAGCCAAAUGGAGCUCGGUUUUUAGUUGGGGCGACUUCGGAGUACAAAAAAACCUCCGACACAAACUAUAUAAAGACCUACACGUCAACAUAUCCUUAUCACGACCCGGUGUUAAUAAAACAUCCGAUCAAUGAACCAAGUUACCCCAGGGAUAACAGCGCCAUCCCCUUCUAGAGUCCUUAUCGACAAGGGGGUUUACGACCUCGAUGUUGGAUCAGGACACCCAAAUAGUGCAGCCGCUAUUAAAGGUUCGUUUGUUCAACGAUUAAUAGUCCU